AAACUGCAGAGCUCUUCUCUCCUCGCCUCUCAGCUGAUCGGCGGGUGGGCGGGGCUUCCAGAGAGGCCUCCGAGUAGGCCUCCCUGAAGCCUGAACUCGAGUAGGCCCCAAGCAAGGAAGGAAGGAAGGAGGAAGCAGGCAGCAGACCCUCUGCCCAGACCAGACCAUCCAGAACAGCUAUUGCUAGUUCUGCAUUUAGGUAUGGAAAACCCUAACCACAAAUAUAGGAUGGGGAAGACCUGACUUGGCAGCAGCACAUCUGAAAAGGAUCUGGGGAUCUUAGUGGACCACAUCUUGAACAUGAGCCAGCCGUGUGAUGAAUCUCCUAAAAAGGUGAACAGAUCCUAUCAGUAUAUUCCAAGAGAAACAAACAAGAACAUGUCACGAGGCCUGAGAUAUCUUAUCGCCCUUCAGUGGAUUACUUUGCUAAGGCACCACAAAUUUGCAUUAGAGAAAAGAAGGGAAACAUGCCUGCCACUUCAGGGGAGGCCUUAAUGGUUAAUAAGAAAAGCCACAACAUUGAGUCAAGAGAUUCCAUCUUUUCAAUAAUGUGUCACAGUGCAAAGAACAUCACUGAUCUCAACUGAUAAA